GAAGAGCUCCCUUGUGAGUAGCAUGUGUGAUGUCACGGUCAGGAACAGGGAAGAUUUCAAAUCGACUGUUUGUUAGGAGUCCUAAGAGGCAGAUGUCAGCAGCAGAACAAACUCCAAUCACAGCAGCGUGCCAUUUGCACAAGCACCAUGCCAGUGACAUGUGGGCAGCAGGAUUAUCCCCAACUUCCUGGUGGAGAGCCAAAAGCAUGAUGGGAAACAGGAAAUUGACAAGUGACCUGACAGGAGGACUGUCAUCUGCUGGGGAGCUGAGUGAAGCCAAGAUGGCAUAACAACAUGGUUGCUAAAAUGUUUUGUUUUAUAUUACAUUUCCUUUUGUUUUAAGUGUCUACAUGAAAUAUCUAGGUAAAUACUUGGUACACAAGCGUAUAUUAAUGCAAUAAUGUACCAUUCCUCUCAGCGGUUAGUACUGUGUAUUUAGCAAUAUUGAUAUGUUCUGCUGCUUGGCUGACUUUGGAUGUAUUACAAAUGUGAACAAUGUGAACAUAUGAUCUGAACAAGUGUCUGUCUUUACACCGCAUGUGAACAUGGCCUUCUGUCCGCAUGCAGGACCUCUCCUGAAGGACAAAGACAGUCUCAUAUUUCACCCAUUAGAACAAUUGUUCUGCUCUAAAGUCACCUUGUCCCUGCAGUAGCAGCAACACACUGCAGAGAAGGCCCUCAGCUACUCUUCUCUCUCUCCCCCCUCCUCUCUGCUACUUCCAGGAUUGGGCAGUAACUGAUUACAUGUAAUCUGAUUACCCCCCCAAAAAAACGGUCUAAUCAGGUACAUUACAGAAAAAAAAUUGCAAUCAAAUUAAAGAUACUUUUUUUUUUUUUUUAACUACAUGAUUACUUCUUGGUUUACUUUUCAAUUCAGAAAGGAUGAUUGCGAAAAUAAAUACAUUGACACCAUUCUGUUUUCUCAAUGACAUUAAAUUCAGCAUUGAAAAAAGUUGGUUCAAUUUGGUUCCACCUGAGGGAGUCUGACCACUAUGAUGUCAGAGACCACUAUGAUGUCAGAGACUGAGUUUGGGUAACCCAAAAGUUACAUUAAUGAUUACAAUUUUUGACUGGUAGCUUGUAACCCUAACGGAUUACAAGUAGAAAGUAACCUAGCCAACCCUGGCUACUUUCUCCUCUACCUCUAUCUGUAAUCACAGUCCCAUUAGGUUCAUGCUACCUUCAUAGGUUUAAGUUCCUCCUGAGUGCUGACAGUAGUGGUUUAGUAAGGUGAGCCACCCAGUUUACAGGGAUGGAUGGAUGACUGCAUCUCCUCCAUGCUGGUCAGUGACAGACAGAGUGGGCAAACCCGUCCUGCAGCAGGCUCCUCCUCCUUCUGAAUCCUCCUCCUGUGAGUGGAGGGCUGGGAGAAGAGGCCCCGCCCCCAGCAGAUCACAUGGGCUAGGGGAUCAGGAACAGGAAGAAAGUGAAGACUGCUGCAGUUACUGUGGAUUGGAGUGUCCUUCCUGCAUGCUAACCUUCAACUUCCCAGGCUCUCACUCCCACACCAAACCUAUAGACUACUGCCUGCUCCUAUUCCCAUCAUAGACGCACUGUUCCAUCAUCAGAUAAUGC
rnacentral:lncRNA from 1 species